rnacentral:tRNA from 1 species
GCACCCAUAGCUCAGCUGGAUAGAGUGCUGGACUUCGAAUCCAGGCGUCGGGGGUUCGAGUCCCUUUGGGUGUGCCA